AGUGGCUAUCACCAAAUAGCAGCUGCUCUCACCGGCGGAAAAGAUAUCACGGGAAAACAACCCCGGCCGCGACGCGCGCGUGGGGAGGAGACGCGGGGAAGCGCUACAGGGCAGCGGCGCGGCUGCAGCGAGGCGGGAUGCGGGAGCCGCGCACGGAGGAGCACGGCACGGUCCCGCAGGCACCGGGAUGCCUUCCGCGCGCCCGCUCCGCUCCCGCCUCUCGCACCGCGGCCGCGCGACGGGCGGAGGACGGCGGGGGCGGCUGCCGUCCUCCGCCGGCACCGCCUCACCGCCGCCCCCCGCGCCGGGCCCGGCAGCGGCAGCGGCAGUGGCACGGCGGGUCCCCGCGCUCCCGGGACCGGGGUUGGGGGUGGGGGGGCCGCCGCCAUCCCCCGCCCCCGGCGCUCCGCAGUCCUGAAAGGGCCCUUUGUGGCCGACCGAGCCCCAGAGCACGGGGCAUGGGGGAUGGGGGGAGCGGACGGUGCCGGUAACCGGCGGGAGCCCCACAGCAACCCCGCCGCUCGGCUGCACAAAGAAAGCGACCGCGCCGCGGCAUCCCCCCCGCAUCCCCGCCUCCCCCGGGCGGUGGCUCGGCCCCGCGGUACCUGUGCGGCGCAGCGCGGGGCCGGCUCUCACAUCUCCUCGCCCUUCUCGCCGGUGGCUCUCCGCUGCGCACCGCCGGCGGGCACAGCCCCAGCAGGGCGCGGGGCUGCCACGGGCGCUGCCUCCGCUCCGCGCUGACUGCGCUGCGCUGCGCACCCCGCGCGGCUGCUGACAGAUGGCGCAACCGCAGCGCCGCCACCGCUCCGAGCUGCCGCCACCGCCGCCGCCGCCUCCCCCCGCCCUCCAACCCGCCGCGCCCCACCGCGGG
rnacentral:lncRNA from 7 species